rnacentral:rRNA from 1 species
CGAUGAUCCCAGCUUGCUGGGGGAUUAGUGGCGAACGGGUGAGUAACACGUGAGUAACCUGCCCUUGACUCUGGGAUAAGCCUGGGAAACUGGGUCUAAUACCGGAUAUGACCUUCCAUCGCAUGGUGGUUGGUGGAAAGCUUUUGUGGUUUUGGAUGGACUCGCGGCCUAUCAGCUUGUUGGUGAGGUAAUGGCUUACCAAGGCGACGACGGGUAGCCGGCCUGAGAGGGUGACCGGCCACACUGGGACUGAGACACGGCCCAGACUCCUACGGGAGGCAGCAGUGGGGAAUAUUGCACAAUGGGCGCAAGCCUGAUGCAGCGACGCCGCGUGAGGGAUGACGGCCUUCGGGUUGUAAACCUCUUUCAGUAGGGAAGAAGCGUAAGUGACGGUACCUGCAGAAGAAGCGCCGGCUAACUACGUGCCAGCAGCCGCGGUAAUACGUAGGGCGCAAGCGUUAUCCGGAAUUAUUGGGCGUAAAGAGCUCGUAGGCGGUUUGUCGCGUCUGCCGUGAAAGUCCGGGGCUCAACUCCGGAUCUGCGGUGGGUACGGGCAGACUAGAGUGAUGUAGGGGAGACUGGAAUUCCUGGUGUAGCGGUGAAAUGCGCAGAUAUCAGGAGGAACACCGAUGGCGAAGGCAGGUCUCUGGGCAUUAACUGACGCUGAGGAGCGAAAGCAUGGGGAGCGAACAGGAUUAGAUACCCUGGUAGUCCAUGCCGUAAACGUUGGGCACUAGGUGUGGGGGACAUUCCACGUUUUCCGCGCCGUAGCUAACGCAUUAAGUGCCCCGCCUGGGGAGUAC